rnacentral:antisense_RNA from 1 species
AAUAACCAAAUAUAACACUUGGGCUAAGAGUCAAGUUGGUAAUUUUUGUUACAUCUCCCCUUCGGGAGCCCAGGUAUCAUAUACACCUCCAAAAUAAAGAGCCUUGAAUACUAGAAGAACAACACUUAUACCUAACAAAAUUAAGUGAAUACCCAAAAUUAUGGUUAUUUUAUUUAUAUCUUUCCG